rnacentral:rRNA from 1 species
UACGGAGGAUGCGAGCGUUAUCCGGAUUUAUUGGGUUUAAAGGGUGCGCAGGCGGAAUGUCAAGUCAGCGGUAAAAUCGAGGGGCUCAACCCCUUUAAGCCGUUGAAACUGGUGAUCUUGAGUGGGCGAGAAGUACGCGGAAUGCGCGGUGUAGCGGUGAAAUGCUUAGAUAUCGCGCAGAACCCCGAUUGCGAAGGCAGCGUACCGGCUCCACACUGACGCUGAGGCACGAAAGCGUGGGUAUCGAACAGG